GUCCUGGUAGCUCAGUAGGAUAGAGCAACGGCCUUCUAAGCCGUCGGUCCGGGGUUCGAAUCCCUGUCAGGACGCCA
rnacentral:tRNA from 1 species